AGAGUUUGAUCCUGGCUCAGGAUGAACGCUGGCGGCGUGCCUAACACAUGCAAGUCGAACGAGAAGCUAACUUCUGAUUCCUUCGGGAUGAUGAGGUUGGCAGAGAGUGGCGAACGGGUGAGUAACGCGUGGGUAAUCUACCCUGUAAGUGGGGGAUAACCCUCCGAAAGGAGGGCUAAUACCGCAUAAUAUCUUUAUCCCAAAAGAGGUAAAGAUUAAAGAUGGCCUCUAUACUAUGCUAUCACUUCAGGAUGAGCCCGCGUCCUAUUAGUUAGUUGGUGGGGUAAUGGCCUACCAAGACUACAAUGGGUAGCCGGUCUGAGAGGAUGUACGGCCACACUGGGACUGAGAUACGGCCCAGACUCCUACGGGAGGUAGCAGUGGGGAAUAUUGCGCAAUGGGGGAAACCCUGACGCAGCGACGCCGCGUGGAUGAUGAAGGCCCUUGGGUUGUAAAAUCCUGUUCUGGGGGAAGAAAGCUUAAGAGUCCAAUAAACUUUUAAGCCUGACGGUACCCCAAGAGAAAGCUCCGGCUAAUUAUGUGCCAGCAGCCGCGGUAAUACAUAAGGAGCAAGCGUUAUCCGGAAUUAUUGGGCGUAAAGAGCUCGUAGGCGGUCUUAAAAGUCAGGUGUGAAAUUAUCAGGCUCAACCUGAUAAGGUCAUCUGAAACUUUAAGACUUGAGGUUAGAAGAGGAAAGUGGAAUUCCCGGUGUAGCGGUGAAAUGCGUAGAUAUCGGGAGGAACCACCAGUGGCGAAGGCGGCUUUCUGGUCUAUCUCUGACGCUGAGGAGCGAAAGCUAGGGGAGCAAACGGGAUUAGAUACCCCGGUAGUCCUAGCUGUAAACGAUGGAUACUAGGUGUGGGAGGUAUCGACCCCUUCUGUGCCGUAGCUAACGCAUUAAGUAUCCCGCCUGGGGAGUACGGUCGCAAGGCUGAAACUCAAUGGAAUUGACG
rnacentral:rRNA from 1 species